UCACGUAACGAAGGGAAGCUUCCAUUCAUCGGGUUGGAUUGUAGCUGCAUACACAACACAAUGAUUAAAGUCUUGGUCUUCUGAUUUUCGCGGAAAUACUGUGGUAGGCGCGUCUCUUUUAUCUUUGGGCAAAAAAAUGGGCUCUGAACUUUUCAAAUAUCAUCCAAAUUCCUACAUUUCUAUCUUCCUGCUCUAGCAUCGCUUGCCUGUCCAAGAAAAUCUCUUUGAGCCUGGCUUUUCUCCUCUAAAGUUAAAAGCUUCCAGUCUGAAGACUAAUACAGAUAAAGUACGAGUUCAUUGAAACUCGUACAGAAACUAUUUUCAAUUUUGGUUUAUUGGUUAAUCUCGUAUUUGAUGUGAAGAUUCCAAUUCAUUUUCUCUUUUUUUUUUUGAUGCGAAGAUUCUGAAUCUUUGUUCUAAUAUUCCUUCAUGUAAAGCUUUCUUUCCUGGCAUAUCUCAUAAUGGGAUCGUCACAAUCACUUCAAUCAGCCGUUGAAGUAGUCUCAAACUGGCAUCCGCAGCCAAGAGAAAGAUUAAUAUUCGAUUGUGGUCGUGCUGAAGUCAGUCAAUACCUGCAGGCGGUAGUCAAGAUUCAGCAAUCAGCAAGCGAUAAUGAUGAGCUCAAAGACAUCAUUUCCAUGGCUGUAACUCGGCUCAAGCAUGAGUUUAGGACCGUAUUGACUAGGCAAACAGAUUCAGCUAUGGGUUCGAAUUCCACGACUGAGUUGAGCUCUUUAACUGACAGCACUGGCUAUCAGUUUCGAUAUGAGGAUUUUGUAGUGCACGAAACACCAAGUGCAGAGGUGAUCCGUUAUCUGCGAAGCAUAGCGGAGACAAUGGAUUCUUGCGGGCAUCUUGAUGUCUGCAUUGAGGUGUACAAGUCAGUGAGGAGGCCUUUCGUGAACGCUGUAUUCAAGAGGCUUCGGCUUGAUGAAUUGAAGGCUGGGGACGUUAAGAGGUUUUUGUGGGAAGAGUUGAGGAUGAAAAUUGAGCGCUGGAUAGAGGCUGCUAGGGUGUGUACCAAGAUUCUCUUCACCAGGGAAAAGCAAUUUGCCGCUCAAAUAUUUUCCGGGCUUGGAAGAACUGCCACUCACGAGGAAUGUUUCCUAUACACAGCCAAAGAUGCUGCAGUUUGUUUAUUCAGUUUUGCCGAAUCUGUGAGCUUGAGUCACCAAUCUCCAGAGAGGCUGGAGGCAGUCCUGAUGCUUUACGAGGUAAUGUUCUCUCUUGCGCAGGAUGUUGGUGCCCUUUUCCCGUCAGAAUCAGCAAAAGCUAUACCAAAUGGCACGGCUGCGACCCUGUCUAGACUUGAGGACGAGGUCAGAAGGAUGCUCUCGGCUUUUGAGAAUGCUGUGCUCCAUGACCUUACGACCAUCUCAGAUGAUGGAGGCAGAGUCCAUCCGCUGACAAAACACGUGAUGGGGUAUGUUAAUCUGAUGGUAGUUCAUAGGAAGAAUCUAGUGAGGUUGAUUGUGUCAAGGCCCUCGAUGACUAUUAGGGGUCAAAAUGUUCCAGGCUCGGAGCUUCAGGACCCCACGAGUCUAAGUCCUUUAGCUUUGCAUUUGGUUUUGAUCAUAGCAGUUUUACAAUCAAAUUUGGAGAAUAAAUCCGAGUACUUCAAGGAUCCUUCUUUGAGGUAUCUGUUCAUGAUGAACAAUGUGAGGUAUAUUGUACAAAAAAUUGAGGGUUCGGGGGAACUGCAAGAGUUGAUUAGUGCUGAUUAUCUGAAGAAGUUAGACGGGUAUGUCAAAGGGGCAAUGACUAGCUAUCAGGAAAUAACCUGUGGAAGGUUAUUGAAUUGCUUGAGAGACGAGGGACUCUAUGUUUGUCGGUGUUUUACUUCUCAAGUGUCAAUUCGUGCUUUGAGGAAAAGGAUCAAGACCGUAAACAUUGUUUUUGAAGAGAUUCGGUCGCUACAAUCAUCACGGGAAGUACAAGAUCUCGGGCUUCGGGAGGAGCUCCGCCGUUCCAUGUUGGAGAAAUUGAUGCCAGCUUAUGAGGGCUUUCUCAUGAGGUUUAGCAGCCAUUUAGAGAGUGGAAAACAGAGAAAAAUGUGCCUCCAGUACGUCCACAGGAUACAUGUUAAGUAUUCCCUCAAGGACCUUGAGGAGUUGAUCAUGACGAAAUUGUUUGCGCGUCAUCAGCUACCUCCAUCAUCAGACUGCCCAGUUGAGAACUCUCAUCUAGGAGGUGGUUAAAUGCAACACCUGGCAAGAUUUAGCAGCAGAGAAUGUAACUUUUCUCCAGUUCUUGGAAAUUGCCUGCACUAUUAGAUGAAAUGCCAGGUUAAGCUGUAUGUUGGAAAUAGUGGUAUACAGUGAAGCCCUUCUUUUACGUGUAUCACAAAAUUAUUUCAUCCCAUUUACAACUUCUGGGAAUAUUCUGAAAAGCUAUUGGGAGGUCCGAAGGAUGAGUUUACUUGGUCGAAAAUUUCAGCUUCGAACACAAAUUAAAUGUGAUGUAGCUCCAGACUUGGAAUUUGACAGAAGAUCAAUCAGCAAGGUUUUUGAUGCAGGGGUACCGAACAAAAUUGAAAGGAAGUGCACAUGGAGAAAGGCACUGUGAAUCAAAAUGGAGAUAAACUCAAGUGUGAUUUUUGCAGUCUAUUGCAGGCGGAGUCUGGAAGAAAAAUCUCAGGUAACACCGAAGAUCAUUUUAGAGAGCAAGGACACUCUUGAGGAGAUGAUCAUUACAAAGCCAUUAAUGGUAUUAGGUGAAUCAACAGUUCCAGAUUUGGAACGAAUCCCGGAAUUGGAAAGACGACGUCUUUUAGCAAUCACUCUGGUCUGGAUCAUUGUAACCUUAGGAUUGAAGUUAGAGGGUAAAUCCCGGAACUACCAAGCUGCAUCCUUGGCACACUUGUUCAUUAUGAACAAUGUUCACUACAUUGUCCGAUGUAUUCAGCAAUCCGGAGAAUUAACUGAGAUGAUUGGAGACAAAUAUCUGCUGCAAGUUAAAAGGAAAAUAUUCAGCAGGCAACAACCAGCUAAUUGAGAUGAACGUGGCAAAGGGUCUUGGAUUGCUUGAGAGAUGGAGGACCACAUGUCAGUCACCUGUUCUAAUCAGGGGUGUCGAACAAAAUUCUGAAAGGAAGGUUCAAGACCUUCAGUGCUUUGGUUGAAGAUAUUCAAAGACUCCAGGUAAUGUGGGAAGUGCCAGAUCCCGAGCUUCGUGAGAAACUUUUACGGUCCAUUUUGGACAAACUGAUUCCUUCCUACGGGGCGUUUCUUGAUCAGUUCAGAAGCCACAGAGAGAGAGAGAGGACAACUACCAAAACGAUACAUCAAGUACUCAGAAGAGGAACUUGAGAGCAUGGUCAGGGGUUUGUUUCUGUAUCACUGACGACUGGAAUGGAACUGUUGCAGGUGCAUUCGCAGAAAUGUGGUUCUUAUCUCUAGUAAAAUAAUUCAUUAAAAAUCAGAACCUGCUCUUAGCAUAUACUACUGAUUCUUUUACUACUAUUAGCGGCGACUUGUUUUCUCGUCUGUCAUGCGGAAGUUGGACCAGCCCUCAUCUGAGGCGCUGAGAAAUUUCCUUACAGGUGCUUUUUGGACUUUUAAUCCACACAGAAAGUAUCUUCA